rnacentral:tRNA from 1 species
GGAGGGGUGGCAGAGCCUGGCUGAUUGCACUGGUCUUGAAAACCAGCAUGUCCUUUGGGGCAUCGGGGGUUCGAAUCCCUCCCCCUCCG